rnacentral:rRNA from 1 species
UACGGAGGGUGCAAGCGUUAUCCGGAUUCACUGGGUUUAAAGGGUGCGUAGGCGGGCAGGUAAGUCAGUGGUGAAAUCUUCGAGCUUAACUCGGAAACUGCCAUUGAUACUAUCUGUCUUGAAUGUUGUGGAGGUGAGCGGAAUAUGUCAUGUAGCGGUGAAAUGCUUAGAUAUGACAUAGAACACCAAUUGCGAAGGCCGCUCGCUACACAAAUAUUGACGCUGAGGCACGAAAGCGUGGGGAUCAAACAGG